GAUGAACGCUGGCGGCGUGCCUAAUACAUGCAAGUCGAGCGAACAGACGAGGAGCUUGUUCCGCUGACGUUAGCGGCGGACGGGUGAGUAACACGUGGAUAAUCUACCUAUAAGACUGGUAUAACUUCGGGAAACCGUAGCUUAUACCGUAUAAUAUAUUGAACCGCAUGGUUCUAUAGUGAAAGACUGUGUUUCGGUCUCUUCUAGAGGGAUCUGCGCCGCUUUAGCUAGUUGUUAAGGUACCGGCUUACCAAGGCAACGAGGCGUAGCCGAGCUGAGAGGGUGAUCGGCCACACUGGAACGGGGACACGGACCAGACUACUACGGGAGGCACCAGUAGGGUAUCUGCGGCAGCGGGCGAAAGCAUGACGCAGUAACGCCGCGCGAGAUGUGACGGUGUCCGGAUCGUAAAAAUCUGUUACGAGUGAUGAACAAAUGUCUAAGUAACUAUGCCCGUCUUGACGGUAACUAAUCAGAAAGCCACGGCUAACUACGUG
rnacentral:rRNA from 1 species